GGUGUGCGCGCCCGUGUGCUGGAGCUGUGAUGGAGAGUUUACGCCCCUUUGGGGUUCCCGUGGCGUGUGGUGCUGGGCUCUGUACAGCAGUUCAAGGAAUAUGGAGGCUGAUGCCUUAUCGAGAAACAUAUGAAUCUUCUCCACAAAGCUUCAACCAUUACUUCCGAAACCAUUGUCUACACUAAUUUUACUCAGGAUUUGUCUAUUCAGGUCCAACACCUACCUCCAUAUUUUAGCAUAGAGGCACAAGUUUUCACUAGAGAGAUGGCGCCGAUUCAUAAUGUGUCCUGGAGCAGAAAAUACCGGUUUCAGAUGGUUCGUUCAAAUGCAGAACUGGCGACACGCUGGCAACAUUAGAAGUCCCUGAUCUACUGGGCGUCCUCGGAGACCCACCAGGGACCCUAGGAGUGGCAUCCUGCCAUAAAAAGAAAUUGGACACGACAUUACUGAGCACAUUAUUAAACAAUUUCAACAGGAUGAAGAUAGAACCAGCACUUAUGUUUUCAGAAGUGUAUAAAGGUUUUAUUGAAGAGUAAUCCUACAAAUAGUGCACUCAUACAGGAACGUAGGAACUUUGUCUCACAACAAUAACUCCCAGGUGGAAUCUUCAAUUUAUCAAUGUGUUCCCGGACAACACUAGCCCAUUUCUGAAGUGAAUCCAGAGCCAACCACGGCCGUGACAUGU